rnacentral:rRNA from 1 species
GACGAACGCUGGCGGCGUGCCUAAUACAUGCAAGUAGAACGCUGAAGGAGGAGCUUGCUUCUCUGGAUGAGUUGCGAACGGGUGAGUAACGCGUAGGUAACCUGCCUGGUAGCGGGGGAUAACUAUUGGAAACGAUAGCUAAUACCGCAUAAGAGUAGAUGUUGCAUGACAUUUGCUUAAAAGGUGCAAUUGCAUCACUACCAGAUGGACCUGCGUUGUAUUAGCUAGUUGGUGGGGUAACGGCUCACCAAGGCGACGAUACAUAGCCGACCUGAGAGGGUGAUCGGCCACACUGGGACGGAGACACGGCCCAGACUCCUACGGGAGGCAGCAGGAGGGAAUCUUCGGCAAUGGACGGAAGUCUGACCGAGCAACGCCGCGGGAGUGAAGAAGGUUUUCGGAUCGUAAAGCUCUGUUGUAAGAGAAGAACGAGUGUGAGAGUGGAAAGUUCACACUGUGACGGUAUCUUACCAGAAAGGGACGGCUAACUACGUG